rnacentral:snoRNA from 1 species
CACUCCUGAUUCUGCCCCAUGUUCUUUCUCUUCCAUAGAUUAAUGGGUUCUGUUUAUGGAGAAGAUAAAGCUGGUGAAUGGUGCGCCUGCGCCUUUGAUACAACAGUGGGAUGCACUUCAUUUACCAGAUCGUGAGAACACAUUAAACGACUUGUCUGACUUUAUUUUCGAAUAUCCAAUAGCCUGACGAGACUUGAUGUGCCUCUAUAUUU